UACGUAGGGGGCAAGCGUUGUCCGGAUUUAUUGGGCGUAAAGAGCGUGUAGGCGGCUUUACAGGUCCGUUGUGAAAACUCGAGGCUCAACCUCGAGACGCCGGUGGAAACCGUAAAGCUAGAGUCCGGAAGAGGAGAGUGGAAUUCCUGGUGUAGCGGUGAAAUGCGCAGAUAUCAGGAGGAACACCGGUGGCGAAGGCGGGUCUCUGGGCCGUUACUGACGCUGAGGAGCGAAAGCGUGGGGAGCGAACAGG
rnacentral:rRNA from 1 species